rnacentral:rRNA from 1 species
UACGUAGGGUGCGAGCGUUAAUCGGAAUUACUGGGCGUAAAGCGUGCGCAGGCGGCGCGUUAAGACAGGUGUGAAAGCCCCGAGCUUAACUUGGGAAUUGCGCUUGUGACUGGCGUGCUGGAGUGUGGCAGAGGGAGGUGGAAUUCCACGUGUAGCAGUGAAAUGCGUAGAGAUGUGGGAGGAACACCGAUGGCGAAGGCAGCCUCCUGGGGCCAGCACUGACGCUCAUGCACGAAAGCGUGGGGGAGC